AGCCAACUCGGAUGCUGUGAUCCCCGAGGCGCGCUGUCGUGCGGCUCGCCAAUGCCUCGGGGGGAGCGAAUCGCGAAACCGGCUGGGUGGGGG
rnacentral:ncRNA from 1 species